ACGGGAGGCAGCAGUGAGGAAUAUUGGUCAAUGGGCGGAAGCCUGAACCAGCCAAGUAGCGUGCAGGAUGACGGCCCUAUGGGUUGUAAACUGCUUUUGUGCGGGGAUAAAAAGCGGGACGUGUCCCGCCUUGUAGGUACCGCAAGAAAAAGGACCGGCUAAUUCCGUGCCAGCAGCCGCGGUAAUACGGAAGGUCCGGGCGUUAUCCGGAUUUAUUGGGUUUAAAGGGUGCGCAGGCGGCACGUUAAGUCAGCGGUGAAAUGCAGGGGCUCAACCCCGGCACUGCCGUUGAAACUGGCGAGCUCGAGUACGGAUGAAGUCGGCGGAAUGUGAUGUGUAGCGGUGAAAUGCUUAGAUAUGUCACAGAACACCGAUUGCGAAGGCAGCUGACUAAUCCGCAACUGACGCUCAGGCACGAAAGCGUGGGGAUCGAACAGGAUUAGAUACCCUGGUA
rnacentral:rRNA from 1 species